GAUGAACGCUGGCGGGAGGCCUAACACAUGCCAGCCGAGCGGUAGAGUUUCUUCGGAGACUUGAGAGCGGCGCACGGGUGCGUAACACGUGUGCAACCUACCUUUAUCUGGGGGAUAGCCUUUCGAAAGGAAGAUGAAUACCCCAUAAUAUAAUGAUUGGCAUCAAUUAUUAUUGAAAACUCCGGUGGAUAGAGAUGGGCACGCGCAAGAUUAGAUAGUUGGUGAGGUAACGGCUCACCAAGUCAAUGAUCUUUAGGGGUCCUGAGAGGGAGGUCCCCCACACGGGUACUGAGACACGGACCAGACUACUACGGGAGGAAGCAGUGAGGAAGAGUGGACAAGGGGUGAGAGCCUGAUCCAGCCAUCCCGCGUGAAGGAGGACGGUCCUAUGGAUUGUAAACUUCUUUUGUACAGGGAUAAACCUACCCUCGUGAGGGUAGCUGAAGGUACUGUACGAAUAAGCAACGGCUAACUCCGUG
rnacentral:rRNA from 1 species